GCGGGUCAGGGUCUCUUCAUAGCCUGCAGGGCGGGGUAGUAGAAGCUGUUGGCUAGGAGUGGGCUUGGGUAGUGGGCUCCAAAGCUGGCUCCAAGGACUAGUCUUGGCCCAAUCUGGCAUCUGGGGACUUCAGGCACAGCAUUCACUGACAGUUGGUGAGAGGCUAAGGUACAGACUCACUGUGGGGGUUGGGUAGGUCCUAGGAGGAGGGGAGGUCCUGGCAAGAGUCCUGACUGGGCUCAAACUCAUCUCAGCACACACAGUUGAUGGCUCAGCAGUCAAGGCCCCUUGGGCACCCACAGUUCCACCUCUGAGGACAAAGCCUGCACCCAGGCCUGGAGCAGGGCAGGGGGCAGGCCAGGGGCCUGACAGUCCAUAGCCUGAUCCAGAUAGAAACCACCAAGCCCAGCUUGGAAUCAGCGGUC